rnacentral:rRNA from 1 species
UACGAAGGGGGCUAGCGUUUUUCGGAAUCACUGGGCGUAAAGCGCACGUAGGCGGACCUAUAAGUCAGGGGUGAAAUCCCGGGGCUCAACCUCGGAACUGCCUUUGAUACUGUGGGUCUCGAGACCGGAAGAGGUGAGUGGAAUUCCUAGUGUAGAGGUGAAAUUCGUAGAUAUUAGGAAGAACACCAGUGGCGAAGGCGGCUCACUGGUCCGGUUCUGACGCUGAGGUGCGAAAGCGUGGGGAGCAAACAGG